rnacentral:lncRNA from 1 species
GGCAAUUCUUUUGCUUGGAAGCAGCAAAUACUGGAUCUAUAUCUGAGUCAUUGUAAAUCCUGUUCCGAAAUGAUGGGCAGCGGGCAAGUCCAAUGCUGUGGCCUCCUGAGAGAGCAACUAGGUCUUGGAGAUUUAAGCCUUGUGAUUGGAAACUUGAAAGAAGCACAGAGAAGUUUGAAAAUGGGGAAGGUAGAUUGGCAUUUGCAUCAUUGAAGCUUGCAGUUCUUGCAUCUCUUCUUCCUAAUUGUACUGGAUAACAUGGACCUCCUAACUGAAAUCACAAAAAGCAAUAUACUCGUCUCAUAUAUUUGGGAUUAAGCGCUGAAGAUAUUUGUGUAAAAGAACUAUUAACUGUCAAGUAUAAGUUAGUAGAUGCUUGACAAACAGAUGUUUAGUAAACUUGAGCUACCGUACCUUUAAAGUAAAUUAAUUGCAUUUUAAUAUAAUUAUCCAAAACAUCUUUAUCAUAGGCAUGUUUCCGUUAAAAUUUAUUUAACUAUUUUUCCUUUUUACUUGUUAUUUGUAUAUAUAAUAUAAAAAUAUUAUUUUUCCUUAGAAAAGUUGGGUGUCCAUCGUCUAUAAAAGCAAUAGUAAGGACGUUUUGGGUUUUAAAAGGUAGAGAUUAACUUUGUAAGUAAACUGAACCCUAGAGACUAAAGGAAAGUUUGCCAUUAAUAAGCACAAACUCAGUUGUUUUAAGUGUUUUUUAAAAUAAUUAAUUAUUUGAAAAAAAAUGUCGAUGGAUUAGCAAAGCUUAAAUCAAAAUUUUACAUACAUCUCUUAAGAUUCAAAACUCAGAUGGUCGACAAAAUAAACAACAGUUUCAGACAUAGAGAUAAAUACUCCUUAGGAUUCUAUAUGAUCAUCGACCGAUACAAAAAUGAGAUAAGUGUGUACUCACAAGAUUAACUGAAUCACGAGCUGCAACGGCUACAAUAUCUGCACAUGAGACCACGUUGCCUUUGCAAGCUGUAUUAACUGCUUGUUUUAUUUCAUCAAUCACAUCAAAUCCCCUGACGGAAUUAUUAUUGGGUAUGGCCGUCUUCUCUCCAACGAAGUUGGCUGUGUCGUCUAAAAGCAGUGAUCCAUCGCAACCCUAUCCAAAAAACACAAACAUAAUUACAGCUAUAAUCAUAAUUACAAAUAUCAAUUAAUUAUUAACCAUAGUUAUAAAUAUUUUUUAACCUCCUAACUCUUUCGGGAUUCGAACUCUACUAACCAGCUAAAAAAAACUGAUUGACUCGAUUAACCCUGAGGGCCUAAAAUCUGAAGUACACUUACAUUGACAAAGCAGUCAUGGAAGUGUAGACGAAGUAAUGAUGCUCCCAUACGAGUCUCAUUUGUUAUGGCAUUUCGAACAACUGUUCUUAUAGUUGGCAAUGCCUGAGGACACAUUUUCUCAUAAAAAUUAGGGGUCAGCUGUGCAUUUAUUGGGAUGAUAGCAGCAGCAGCUAACACAAAAUACACAACAAAAGAUUUAAUAGCAGCCAUUGUUGGUUAUUAAAGCUAGUAGAAAUAAUGUUUUGUUGAAUUGCAAGUGAUAUGGGAUAUUUAUAGGUUCGACACUACAGCAUUAGUUCCCCUGUUUCCAUCAAUUUAUUAUUCUUUAUUCAAAACGUUUUCCUUGUAUUAUUAUAUAUAGAAAUGAUUUGAUUUCGAGCUGUAUGCAACAAGUUCCAUCGAGUUCGUUUCAUUUGCUUUUGCACGUACAAUGAUGAUCACCAACUUGCACAAUUUUAUUCAUAAAGCAAUAGAUAAACAAAAUUUGUGUCCUGGAUAUAAUAUGGCUCUUUGACACUACAGUUUUCAGCGAUGGAAGUGCGAGGGACUUGAAAUUUCAGAUUUUGUAGUGCUUCGUUACAUCGUGAAUUAAUCAAACAACACAACACCAUGUUAACUUACUCAUCAUAACAUGAGUAAUAAUACUCAUUAGAUCAUUAUUUGUGUUAUGGUCACUGAUAUCUACUUUUUUUUUUUUUUUUACGGAGGGUGUACAAAUCCAAAUUGAUUUUUAAGUCAGUACUUCCUCAUGAUUCAAAUUCGGACAGCCUACCAAAGAAGGUAUUACUUGAAAAUCAUCCAAUUUGAUACACGUAAAAGAUUUAUUAAGAUACAUCACCAACUCAACUAUGCUAGAACAUCUCAAUAUAUAUUUAACCUAAAUCAUAAUCGAAAUGUAGCACCAAUCAGUCAGUUAUAUCUUGUAAAUGAUGUCGAUUAAGUUUGAUCUUCCAUUGUUGCACAGUAGCCAAAUAUUAUUUGAUCUCAUUAUGUGAAAACGGAUCUUAACAAUUGGUAUCAUGUUCCAGGGACGGUGGGAUGUAUGAAUGGAUCCAAAUUAAUUGAAUUAAAAAUAUUCCACAAUGUGUAAAGAAUGUACGUUACAAGUUCAGAGUCGGAUACUAUAAAUUAAAAAAACUAGCUAUUACUUGAAACAAAAUCCGUUGACAUUUGACAAAUAGCUUUUAUAUUCAUCAGUACAUGAAUGAUUCCUCAGUACAUGAAUGAUUCCUCAGUUGCUUAGAAAAGCGAAAUAGAAUACAUAAUUAUGUGGAAUUUUAGAUGAAACCUCUUAUUUAAUGUGUUGAAUUCUUGAUGUAAGAUUCUAACUAUUAGUUAGUGCCUGCACGAUUAAACAAUAAACAAUUAAUAUUAGGCUUAGUUAUUUGAGACCAAUCAUCACCACGAAACUAUCCGUUACAAAAGGAGCUUAUUGUCUUGCAUGAUUGGUGCUAGCGACAAAUUGUGAUAAAAGUAAAAAGUGAUAAUAAACUUUCAUUCAUAUUAUUCUAUGUGGCCCAAAUACCCAAUUUAUUCAGGAAUAUGAAAAACAUAAAACGAACAUACAAUCAAUCAUAUAAUUAACAGAUCUCUUCCAUAUUUUCAUAUCAUACUGUCCAUUAUACUUGCCAUAUUUAUAUGUCAUAUAACAAUGAUUAUUGCAAUGUUUGCAUAAUGUUAUAUGAUAUCAAUUUUAGCUCAUAAUGGUCUUAAUAUCGAGAAGAAUAUGUAAGAUCACAAAGCGAUUAUCGUCUUAUUGCGAAUAAUGUUUAAAUAUAUAAUAUCAAUCCUAUCGAUUAGUAUUUACACUCAGAAAUUGAAAUAUUCUAAUUAUAUAUCUUAGAUGAGUCUAUUAUGUUACUGGUCAGAUUUUAACCAUCACAUUCAUAUGAGUGGGCGAAAUAUCUACCAUUACACAACAAAAUAAUUGAGAGAGAAAGAGUAAUAGAAUCCCAACUUUUCCCUUAUACUGAGACACAUACCCGUACUUGAGUGCACAGGGGCUAGGGUAAAAUCCUAGCGGGAUGCAGUGUUAUGUGUAAAGACAUGUUACCUUGCCGCUCACCUCGAUAAUUAUUUACUAGUUACUUUCCAUUUGUUAAGAAUCAAGAAUUUAUAAUGUAUACAAGUAAUAAAAUUAAUUCUUUGUUCCCAAAUUGAAAGUCAAUAAAUGAUACAUCAAUUGUAUCCAGCUGGUCAUUUGUAUGCACGCACUCCUCAUUUUUCUUGUAUAAGGCACCGAGUCAACCGAAAAAUUAACAUUGGGUUUAAGUAAUUAAUUAGCUUUUGUUAACUGUACAACAUGCUCUUCAAACCUUAAAAAAUUAAGUUUGACCUUUACCUAUAUAACAACUUAAAUUUUUAAGUUAAGGUAUGGAAAAUGACAGGCAUAUAAUAUUAUUUAAGAUUCCUGUUCGAAAGCUCAAGUAGUACUUGUGUCGUUUAAUAUUAUAAUUGAAGAUACUUCAUCAGUCUUCGAACUGAAAAAGACUAUAGGCACACGAUUUUCAGUUGGAUCCACAUCAUGGCCGCCCCAUAUUACCUUUAGUUAUCUCCUUUAGCAGCCUAAUCUAGUGCCAGACGGUUUGUAGCACUCACAGUGCGUCUUUCCCCUCGGUGAAACUUGAAUCUUAGACGUUAAGGUACAUGAAACUCUUGCGUCGUCUAUGCACCAAAGGUACCAUCAAGCUAAUAAUAAAUUUAAGAUUAACAAUAAUAUUACACUUCCAAAGUAUUAUUUUAAUUUUUUUUAAUUUCUAAUGAUGUAGUAUUUGCCCAUUGAAUAACAAAUUUUUAAGAGACUCAAAUUAACUUUCGGUCAAUGGUCAACAUUGAUCAACGACUGGUCAACAAUCAAUGGUUAGCUCAGCUCACUUGGCUUGGCUUGGCUUGGCUUGGUCUGGCUCGACUUAUCUUGGUUGGACUUGAUUCAGUGUGGAUCAAUGUGUUUAGAUUGGUUCAACUUGGUGAAUCAACUCAGUUUUGGGACAUCAAACUUUUGGUAGUGAUUACAGGUGCAUUCAUAUUCCGAUUGGACUGAUUUUUGUAACAUCGUGUUCCUCUCGUCGAGCUCUUCGAUUUGAUAUGCUAUACUACUAUUUAAAGCACUGAUUACUAGCUAUGAUACCACUUUGUUGGAGAAUUCGAAGGAUAAAAGAUAAAUUUUGAUUAAAGAAAGCUCAAGAACAUUAUAAGAACAAUUCACACACUCUCACAAAUCACUCUCAAAAGCUUUGUUUUACUUUUUAUACUUCUUCUUCUUAGACUUGAUACGCACAACAGAAAUGACAAGGCUAUUUAUAGUACCCAAAACUUAAUUAUAACCAGACACAUAAACUAAAAAAAUUUAAUCACAACUACUAUUUUAUUCUCAACCAUCACACUAAUUAUCAACCUAACUCAUUCCAAUUCACAUAUUUCACCCAUCCACACCAACCUUGUCUACCACCUAAGCUCACGUAACUUAGAAAAUUCUAUGGGAUAGGCUAGACUUUGUGUUUUUUGGACUUGGAUGAAAAACAAGUUAUGGUCCAACAAUAUACCGGCAUGUUUAAUUUAGGUAUACUUUUAAACACAAAUUUGAACACAAAUUUUUAACCACUAGAUUAAAGUUAAGUUCAUCGAAUGAUUAAUACUAAAAUAACAUACAAUUUUUUUAUUCUAAAAAUUAAUUAAUUAGACGUAGACCCACAAAAAAUUUAACAGUAAACAAUAAACGUGUAAACGUGAAAUAAGCCUCUCUCUCUCCCCAUAUCAUUUAAUUUUAUUUUUUAAACUAACUUAUUUCAUUCAAAGAUUAAAAUUACACUUGAUUUGGGAAGGAAGAUCUCCAAACUAAAUUUCAAGUAACUAAAAAUUAAAAAGCCACCUUAGCUUAGCUAACAAAUGAAAUGAGCAUGCAAGCUGCAGGCUCUUGGGAUGAACUGAAUUUUAAAUCAGCCAUUUUCCUUAAUUUCUUCUUGAAAUGUCCAACAACACCCAAAAGAUUUCAUUUGCCUAACACUGUGUUCACGACAUUCAUACAUUUCUUUCUUUAAGUUAUGCACUUAUCUUUCUCUCAUCUCCUUCAAUCCUCUCUCUUCUCUUUGUAAAUGAAUUUUCUAUUCCAAUGGUUUUUGGAUGGAUGUUACUACUACAAGUUAAAGUACGUACAAUAACACUUCUCUGCAUUUUUUCUUUGUUAGCCAGUAAAUCGAAAUGGUGGUUAUCUAUCCUUUUCCAAUUCUCUUUAAAUUAUGAAGUAACAAAAUUUCAAGCAUGAUAAAUAUAAAAAAGGUAGAAACGGUUCCUACAUUUUCUUUUUUUUCCCCCUUAUUUAUAGUUGUUUUAUUAAUCAGAUUUAUCUAGAAAAUAUUUUCUCUUAUGGCUAUUUGGCGUAAUCUUUAGUUCAUUGGCAAUUUUUACAGAGAGAAAUGCAUGGUGAUAUAGAGGUGAGUGAAACGUAUUUUUCUUUUACUAUUAAAAUUUAAUAAUGUUCGAAAAGGGACUCACACAAGCAACUACAAAUUAAGCGAAAAAAAAAAUAUUUUCCAAUUUUUGUGAUUAAAAUAGGAUGUGUACCACAAAUAAAUAGAUAGAAAAUAAUCUAACACAAUCCAAAGCAAGAAAUCAACCACAAGAGACACAUUUAUUUUUACAUGGAAAGCCUAAAACGGAAAAAAUCAUGGGACCGUAAUCUGAUAUAAUCUUCCACUAUAUUAAUGGGAUUACAGUACAAAAUUCUUCUCUAGAUAACACUAGAGGCUAAUACCAUCAAGAAUCUUAACAAUCUUGGCUUACAGUAAUAGUCUAAUAUAUGUCUUUCUAAUAAGUAGCUAGGUAUCUCAAAUCACAACCAAUGAUAGGAUAAAACAAAAAUCAAGACUAGUAGGCUUGUAGAGGGUGAUGUCAGGAACUUACCCUUCAAAUUUGGGAGAAAACAGAGUUAAAAUCGCAUUCCAAUCAUCCAAUCAAAAAUUGAAACAUAAGCCCCCAAUUUCUAAAAGCACACCACUGUCUCCUUCUUUCUCUCUCACCAUUUUCACGCACAAAAGUUGCUGCUGCAUGCUUUUGCUCCUUUAUAUAAUGUUUUUAAAACCUAAUUUCAAUAAAAAUUUCAACUAGCUAGCCCCUUUAAUUUUUUUUUAAUCGCUUAUAAAGUUUUGGUCUUGGGCUAACUAAAUGAGAUGGACCCAACAAAUAAUGUGGGACGCAUUUGAAUCAAUUAGUUAUUGUAAAAGGCUUGCUAAACUCUUUCUUCAGAUUGUUAUUCUUACUAGCAUCUUGGCCAACAAUCAACAUGUCAUCCACAUCAAGUAAAAGAAUGAUAAAAUCAUUAUUGCCAAACUUCUUCGUAAAAAUACAAUGAUCAUAAAUUGUCUCGUUAAAAUCAUGAUUCUCUAUGAAAGAUUCAAACUUCUUAUACCACUAUCUUGGUGCUUGUUUCAGGCCGUACACUUUUUUUUUUUUUCAACAUGCAUAUAAGUUCUUCUUUGCCUUUGAUAUUGAACCCUUCAUGUUACUCCAUGUAUAUAUAAGAUAUCUUCACCACAAGAGAAAAUAUUUCUUCAAAAUCAACACAUUUCUUCUGACCAAAACCCUUCAUAACUAAUUUAGCCUUGUACCGCUGUUGCGAGUUAUUUCUAGUCUUCCAUCUGUAAAUCCAUUUGUUCUUCAGUGCCCUCUCUUCCUUAGGCGAUUUCACAAAGUCAUAAGUGUGGUUCUCAUUCAUGGAUUUCAUUUCCUCUUGCAUGGCUUUAACCUCCUCACUUUUAUGUUGGUGGGACAUGACUUCUUCAAAACACUUUGGUUUCCAUUUAUCUGUAAGCAUAACAUAUUUAUGUAGAGGAUAUCUAGUGGAAGGUGGCUGUUCUCUAAAGGAUCUUCUCAAUUCUGGCUUAACUGGUAGUGUAGGUAGUUCAAAAGGGUGCUUGCUCAACUAAUUCUGCUAAAACAUCAUUGUUAUCCUCUUCAACUCCCCCAUGAUCAUCAUGAGCUACAUGUGCAGAAAUUGAAGUUGGAAUAAUAGGAAUCUCUAGAGAUGAUUGAGAUUCAUUACUUUUCUUUGCAUCACCAACUAUCUGAUCUUCAAGAAACGUAACAUUUCUACUUUUGAUAAAUUUUCUUGCCACUUGAUCCCAUAAUCUGUACCCAAAUUCUUAAUGUCCAUAGCCUAAGAAAAUGCAUUUCUCGACUUUAUCAUCAAGCUUCAUCUCUCAUCUUUAGGGAUGUGAACAUAUGCUUUGCAACCAAACACUUUAAAGUGUUUAUAAGAAACAUCUUUUCCGAUCCAAACUCUCUCAAGCACAUCACCAUCUAAUGGAGAUAAAAGAGAAAAGUUAAUCAAAUCAAUUGCAGUACGCAUAGCCUUAUCAAAAAAAGAUUUAGGAAGUUUGGCAUUAGAAAGCAUACACCUGAUCCUUACUUUAAUUGUUCUAUUAAUUCUUUCUGCAACACUAUUCUGCUGUGGGUUUUUGGUAUGGUCUUUUCAAGCCUAAUUCCAUGAGAUAUGCAAUACUGCUCAAAUGACCCUCUAUACUCACCAUUAUUAUCUGUCCUGACGCAUUUUAAUUUUCUUCAUGUCCCUCUCUCAACAUAAGUAUGGAAGAACUUAAACGUAUCAAGCACCUGGUCUGUAGAUUUUAAAACAAAAGCCCAUACUUUUCUACAACAAUCGUCAAUAAAAAUCACAAAAUAAAAUGCACCUCCUAUUGAUCUACUUUACAUAAUUGAAAAUAUCAAUGUGAAUUAAAUCAAGUAUUUGUGAUUUUCUAGAUGGAGAAAAGCUUUUAGAUGCUACCCUCUAUGUCUUUCUAAUUAAGCAUUGAACACGAGUCUUGAGGGAUAUACUUGCAAAGCUGGGUAGAAAUCCUUUUCUUGCAUGAGUUUCUAGCCAUUUCUCACCAAUAAAACCAAGCCUUUUGUGCCAUAUCUUAAUGUCAAAAUCUUUUACAGCUACAUUCACAUCUUCUUUCUUGAUCUUGGCUUCUAUCACAUAGAGAGUGUUUAUUUUCCUCCCCGUAGCUAACACUAGGGCGCCUUUAGUGAGCUUCCAUUUUCAUUCACUAAAUUGGUUUGUAUAACUAUUAUCAUUAAGCUUGUUUAUAGAGAUUAAAUUAAGGCGAAUAUCUGGCAUAUGUCGGACAUCCUUAAGCAAUAACUUAGAUGCUCACAAUCUUAGAUGCCCCAUCAUUUCCUAUCCAAACAUGAUCAUAAUCACUAUUAACAUAGGAUGUGAAGUAAUCAUGAUGUGCAGUAACAUGAAGCGAAGCACCCGAAUCAAUCACCCAAUCACAGGUAUGACAAGUGAGAUUUAUAGUGCUCUCAUCAUAAACAAUACCUAUAUCACCAUUAACUAUGGCCGUAGUGUCCUAAUUGUCAUUUUUUUUAGCAUCACCAUUUUCUUUCGCCUGUUCUCUUUUCCAUAAUCUGCACUCCCUUUUAACGUGACCCAUCUUUUGACAAUAAAAGCACUUCAUGUUUCUCUUCUAGGACUUAGAUCUUCCUUUAGGAUUAUCAUUGUUCUGCUGGUGGGAAUUUCUGGUUUGGCUUCUCCUCCACAUUUCUUGCUUUUCUGAAACAAAUGUAUUUGACUCAGAAGGAACUGCUUCAACACUCUUUCUUCUCAAUUCUUUAUUCCUAGUCCUAUCUGUAACCAUGUCCAAUGCUUAUAACUCAUCAUCUAAAAUAAUUUUCAUAGUAGUCAACUAAUCAACCAGGGCUUGAAACUCACUAGUGUGUUCUGUUAGACUGCACCCUCCUUAUAAUUCAAGUUAACAAGCCUUUUCAUCAUAUUGGCUUUAUUUUGUGUUGUCGACUGCUCAUAAAUUGUCUCUCAUUUUCUCCAAAGAACAUCAACCCUGGAUUCCUUCACGACAUCGUGGUACACACUCUGAUCAAUUUAUGAUCUAAUAGUACCCACAACCUUCUGGUUUAAUUGAGCCAAUUUCUUAUCAUCUAAAUCGGCGGCGGGUCUGGUUUUUUCGUCUUCAAUGGGUUCAUGGAAGUCUUUCAUAAAUAGCAAAUCUUCCAUUCUAGACUUCCAAAUACCAUAAUUCCAUGAUUUAAAUUUAAUCAUGCAUGCCAAAGACUCCUCCAUCUCAACCACACAAGUAAUGAAAUAGUACAAAACUUGAUUCUCUCAUACCACUCUAUUAGGAAAAAAACUCACACAAGCAUCUGCAAAUUAAGUGGAAGCAAAACACUUUCCUUCUUUAUGUGAUUAAAAUAGGAUGUGCACCACAAAUAAAUAGGUAGAAAAUAAUCUAACACAAUCCAAAGAAUUAAAUCAACCACAAGAGGCAUACAUUUUUACGUGGAAAACCCAAAAUGGGAAAAAACAUGAGACUGUAGUUCGAUAUAAUCUUCCACUAUAUUAAUGGGAUUACAACACAAAACUCUUCUCUAGAUAACAGUAGAUGCUAAUAACAUUAACAAUCUUAACAAUCCUGCCUUAUAAUAACAACCUAAUAUAUGUCUCUCUAAUAACUGUGUAUUUCAAAUAACAACCAACAAGAGGAUAGCACAAAAAUCAAGACUAGUAGGAUUGUAGAAGGCAAUACCAAGAGCUUACCCUCCAAAUUUGGGAGAAAAUGAAGUUAAAAUCAUGUUUCGAUCAUCCACUCAAAAAUUGAAACGCAAGCCCCAAAUUCUAAAAGCACGCCUUUGUCUCUUUCUUUUAAUUACCGACUUUCCAUUUUAAUUGAUGUAAGGCAUUUAAACCAAUUAAAAUUCUAAUUUGAUUUAAAUUCUUUCAUAUUCACUUAGAAUAGAAUUAUGAUUUAAUUUAUAUUCUUUCCUUAUUUGUUCAAAUUAUGGGAAAGAAGAUUAUUAUUUAUAUAAUUUGAAUUCUUAAAUUAGUUUCCUCUAAUAUUUUAAUAUAUAUAAAUGAAUAAAAUUUAAAAGCAUGAACGAACUAAAGAAAGUAAAUAAAAAAUGGCAAGGAAAGAGAUUUUGAAUUACUGGGUUUUGAUUAUAUUUUGACAUUAGAAAGGAAAAAAGCAUUGCAUUUGUGUGAGAUAAACAUAAUAGGAAUGUGAAAAAGAAAUUGUGUAACUUUAUGUACUUUAUACAUUUAAGGACAGAAAAAUGGCAUAGGUGCCAUUUUAUAAAUUUUAACAUGGUAAUUAGAAUAUUUAUAAAUUUUGUAUAAUUGUUUUUUUUAUAAUGCGUGAUAAAAAUUUAGUUGAUUGUUGCUAAAAAAAUUAGUUGAUUGUUACUAAAUUUUUCAUUAAUAAGCUAAAUAAAUAGAGAAGAACGUAAAAUAUCUUUUGCAUAGAAUUCGAAUGGGAAAUCAACAGUUCCCUUAUUGAAAUCAACACAUACCCUCUCUAUUAUUUUCAUAAUAGCCAAUAAUCUCCUUAACAUAUAAUUUUACUAUAUUACUCAUAUUUUCAAAUGCACUUUAUUAAUAUUAAUUAUAAAUUACAUAAAUCAUAUAAAUGGAAACCGAAAUUAAAAAAAUUAAGUACUAAAAAUAAGAAAUAUAUAUUUUAGUGUGAAUAAAAAAUUAAUAAUAAGAUAUUUUUCUUAUACUUUUUGUUAUUUUAAUUUUUUCUUAUAAUAAAUAUAUUUUAUUUUAAAAAGGAAACCUAACCCCCAAUUUUUUUUUCUAUAUACUAACACCUUCUUUUGACUAUAAUUCCCUUUGUAGAUAAUCACUAAAACAAUUAACCCUAAAACUUUUUUAAAAAAAAAGAUAUUUUAAGUUUUUUAAUUUUCUAAUAGACUAAUAAUAUUAGAAUUUUUUAAUAUAUAAAAUAAGUUUUAAAAUGUAGACUAUUAUAUUUACUAUGGUAAUAUAUUUUUAUUUAUUAUAAAAUUUAAAUAAAUCUUUGGGUUAAAUAGAUUUUAUAAUUAAUAAAAUAUAUCAUAUAUUAAUAAUAUUAAAAUUAUUAAAAUUAUUUUAUAUAAUAUUGAAAAUAAUAUAAAGUUUUCUAUAUUUAUUUUAAUAUUAUGAUCCUAUUUAUCAUAAAAUUUAGGUUAAUAUAAUAUAAGAUUGUAAAGUAUUAAAAAACUUUUUUAAAUAUUGAAAUUAUCUUAAAAUGUAUGUAAAGUUACAUUUAUUUUGAUAUUAUAUUUAUAUUUAUUUAAAACAUUAGAGUCGAUAUUUUUAAGUUAAUAGAGCUAAAGGAUGUUGUAGUUAAAAGGGAAUAAUGGUGUCCCUUAUUAAAAACUAAGGGGGUAUGUGUUGUUUUCCCUUAUAUUUAUUAUAUAAUACUGGAGUCAAUCUUUUUAAGUUAAUAGAGUCAAAGGAUAUUAUAGUCAAAAGGGGUAAUGAUGUCCGUUAUUGAAAUAUUUGGGAUUUACAUGACCAUUUUCUCAAAUUUGGGGUGUAGGUGUCAUUUUUCCUUUAAUUUAUAAUAAAUAUAAAUAAAAGUGUAUUUGAAAAUAAGGAUAAUAUAGUAAAAUUAUGAUGUCAAGGAAGUUAUUGAACUAUGAUAAAAAAAAUAAAAGUUAAAUAGUAUAUAUUAAUUUUAAAAAGGAAAAACUAAUAAUCUCCUAUUCGAAUUCUAUGUAAAAUAAUCAAGAUUGUAACCAUCACAAAGCUUGAUGCAUGGUUGAGAACGGAAUUUGCUUACUUGUUUAUUUAUUUAUUAAAACAUAAGAAACAGAAUCAAAUAACAUUAUUAAGACAAUUGUCAUUUGUCAAAAAGAAAUGUUGUUGGGGGCUGGGUCUAGGUAGGAUGGGAUGUGACGCAAUUCAAAAGUAUUCAAAGGGAAACGAAAGAAACAAUAAAUUGAUCCCCUGGGCCUGGUGUUGCCACCAGUCAGUAAUUCGCCGAUUUAAUAUCAAGAUUAUUAUGAAAGUUUAAGACUUUGUAUUCAAGAUUGAUAUGAACGUUUAAGACUUUGUAUCUUGCUUUCAACUAUAUUAAUUAAUUCUUUUUUGGAUAGUGCUCUUAAGUUGCAUUACAAGUAGUUGGAAGAUUCUAAAGUUUGGGACAUUUGCAAAAACAUCCAUGUAUAAUACAACCGAGUUUUUGACUUGAUAGAUUCCUUGUGACCAUUUUGUUCACACACUUACCAACCGCCAUUAAGUUUUUCAGACGAUGACAAAUCCUCUUUUAUAUUUUUUACUUCUAAUAAAGUUUGGGCACCCAACAUUAUCUUGUAAUUUAUAAAACAAAAUGCAAGACUUCAAUCAAUUUACUCAAAAUGUUAAAAUACAGUCUUCUAUAAUACAACCCAAUAAUCUUUUCCCUGACAUUUCUCAAGAUUUUGCUAGAUUUCCUAAGCUUUAUGACGCCUUUUCCGAGUUGCUUCAAAAAAAAUUAAAAUCUGAUUUAAAACUUGAGAUGUGCAAUAAUUAUUUGUAAAAUAUAACGAAAGUUUGGUUAGUUGAUAGUUAUUUCUUAUUUUUUUGCUCAUAUUUUAGAAAUUAAACUAAUUCAUAAUUGUUACAUAAGACUUUAUAGUUAAUUAUUAAAUUUUAAACUAUACAAUGUUAUAUACCCAUGUACUAAAAGAUAUCGAAAUUUUUAUUUACAUGACUUUAGAUGGUGGGGAUCGAUAUAAGAUGGUGGGGAGUUUCCAACUCUCAAUGAAUGCAUCCAUUAUUUUUAAUAGUUUCUAAUAAAAAAUUAGCAAAAUCUUUUUUCUUUUGAUCUAGAACCAAUAAUUCAUCCUCUAUAUAAGAGCAUCUGAUUUAUCACAUAUCAUUCACCGAGCGUAAAAACACAAGCUCUGCUGAAUUACUUUGGUGUCUCCUUGAGUACUUUUUGAUAAUGUCGUCUCACUCACAUCUUUAUGGAACUUCCUUCAUCAUGUUUUUGUUGUUAUCUAAACUGGCCUUUCCACAAUUAUCCUCAAAUCACUAUGCUAAUACUUGCCCAAAAGCCCUCCCUACCAUCAAGUCUAUAGUGCACAAUGCAGUGGUAAAGGAGCAUCGAAUGGGAGCUUCUUUGCGUCGUCUCCAUUUCCACGAUUGUUUUGUUAAUGCACGUUCUAUCGCUCCCUCUCUCUUUCUUUUCACUUUCAACGAAAGCGAUUUGCAAUUGCAAACUUGCAUGCAUGCAUCCACCCAAAACGCAUAAUAGAGUUUCAUUUACGCAUUAUCAUAGUAAUGCUUGAGUGACAAACUUUCUUUGUAUAUGUUAUUUAAUUUGUACAUAGUGAGGUGCUAAAACAGUAUUAAUUAGUAGAAUAAUAACUCAAAAUAAUCUCUUUUCAUUAGCUAUUUUUGUUAAGGUAAAUGCUCCUUAUAAUUUACAUCAAGUCCCAAAUAUUUUCAAAAUUACAAAUUUCCAAAAAGUCCAAUUGUCUGUUUGUUUAUGUUAAAAUUUACUUAAUUUUCAUCUAUUUUUCACCUAUUGUAUGUUAGAUUUAUUUGAAUUUUAAGUUAUAUAUCAUGUGAAAAUACUACUUUACUCUUAACUAUUAAAUUGGAUUGCUACGAUAGUAACAACAUAGGUGUUUUAGAUAAUUUUAUAAAUAUAGGGAUGAACUGAAUAUUUAGCUCAAACCACAUAUAAAACUGAAGGAAAUUUAUUAUUAAUACAUUUUUGUUAUCAAUAUGGUUAUCUUACAAUUUGAUUAGUUGGGCAUGUGAUAGUGUAUUACAGUAACUUUUUUUUAAUUAAAUUUCGUUUAUGCCUCAAUUUGCAGGGUUGUGGUGCAUCAGUUCUAUUAGAUGACACUUCAAGUUUUACUGGUGAGAAAUCAACCAACGCCAAUGCGAAGUGCAGACAUCUUAGCUGUUGCUGCUCGAGAUUCCGUUGUUGCUGUAAGUGAAGUGAAAAUUGCAUUAACGACUACUUGAGAUUAUUGUCGCCUAAUAGUAAUAACUGCAGGCCCAAAAUCUUAGCACUUUUCUUUAUUAUUAUUGUUGGAUCCUUAUCAUCGACUUAGGCUUAAUUUUGGUUAAACGGUUUCUCUAACACAAUUAAAUUGAAUUCUCUCAACUUAUAAGCUCAUUCAAUUUCUUGAUUCACUUUUAAGCUCUUGUCUUUUGGUACAUCCAAAACCUUUUUCUUUUUCCUUUUUUUUUUCCUAAUCUUAGCCUACAAACAUUUCACAUAAGGAAGCAUAUGAAACCCUAUCUUAUCAGCUUACACUUUUGGCUAAGCAGUUAUUAACAGUAUAAUGGAAUUUUAUUUAUCAAAAUUAAUUAAUUAAUCAGAUAUUCUUUUUUGUUCAGUUCGGGGGGCCUUCAUGGACAGUUCAAUUAGGUAGAAGAGAUUCGACAACGGCAAGUUCCAGUGCAGUAAAUACUAAUAUUCCAUCCCCUCUUAUGGAUCUUAAUGACCUUAUUUCUAACUUUGCAAAGAAAGGAUUCAGUGCUAAAGAAAUGGUGACCCUCUCAGGUAAUAACAUUAUUAUUAGAUUAAUAAACUUAGACCUAGUGCUGAUCUAAGCUGCACUAAUCUUUCAAAAUCAUAUCUCAUCACCUGCACAACCAAAAAAGGCCUCUAGUAUCAGCGGAUCUACGAGUGCGUUGAUAACAUUGUACGCAUGUUAGAAUUUAGUUACAUAUAUAUACCUUGUAGAAUGAUCAACAUAAGAUUAGAUAAAUACUGAUAUGUAUUGAAGAUAUUAUCUCACAUCAACUGAGAAUAAUUACUAGGUUAAUAAUAUAAGUGAGGCAAUUCUCAACUCUUAAGCUAGUUUUUGAGUUUAAGUUAUCUCAUGAGCUUUUUAUAUAGUAUCAGAGUUAGAGUCACCUACGAGUGGGCUCACUCUACUUUAUCACGUGACAAGGACUAGGUAGACAAAAGAAUCGGUACUGAUGAGAAUAUCCCAAGUCAACUAUUAACACAACUAGCUAGAUAGCAGCCAUAUUCUUUGAUUUCAAUAAUUCUUAUUUCGUGUAUGAUUAAUUAUAUAUCAAAAUUCUGGUCGUAUACAGGAGCUCACACAAUAGGACAAGCUAGGUGCUUAUUGUUUCGACAAAGAAUCUACAAUGAAACAAACAUUAAUUCAGAAUUUGCAACAUCUUUAAAAUCAAACUGUCCAAGCUCAGGCGGCGAUGACAACCUUUCUCCAUUAGAUGCCACCAGCUCUGUUCUAUUUGACAAUGGCUAUUUCCGGGACUUGGUGAAUAACAAAGGUGUCUUUCAUUCAGAGCAGCAGCUCUUCAAUGGCGGCUCAACUGACUCUCAAGUCACCACUUACAGCACCAACAUUGGAACGUUUUAUGCAGAUUUCGCCAAUGCAAUGGUCAAAAUGGGGAACCUUAGCCCACUGACGGGAACUGAUGGGCAGAUUCGCACCAACUGCCGCAAAAUAAACUGAAUUCUAUUGGGGCCUUAUUAAUUAGCUUUGAACAAAGUCGUUCAUUUCUAUUUCUUGUUUUCCUAUGUCCUGAAUAUUAAGCGAAUAAUGAUCAUGAUGAUCAUGUUACUUGAUUUGGAUUAAUAUUCAGUAAGCAUUUUCUUUAAUUUUUCUAUUUCUCAUAACUACAGAUAAAGUGAAAUCUGCUAUGUGUUGUAAUCUUAAUACACGUUUCUUAAUUGCUAGUUCUUGCAAGAGAAUGACACUUUCAUUUCUCUAAAAUUUAUUUUACUAAUUUCUGGAUUCAUCAUAGAUUGAUCAUCUCUUACACCUCUAUAAAUAAAAUUAAACUAUUUAAUUUAUUUGUUAUAAUAUAUAUAUAUAUAUAUGUUAUUUCUAUAACUGUUUUGACACUAGUAACGAACAAAGGUGUUAAAAAUUUAUGGCAAAAUUAAAAUUUUAAUUAUGACCAAAAUGUGUCAUUCUACCAUUUUAUAAUAUUACUCUAAUAAUAGUUUGUUUGAUUUCUGACUGGACAUGAAAUAUGAUUCAGAUUGAUUCAUAUAUAUAUAUAUAUAGAGAGAGAGAGAGAGAGAGAGAGAGAGAGAGAGAGAGCCAGUUUGAGAUUGUUGUGGGUGACAAAAUAAGUUGCUUCUACUGUAUUAAUGAAAUAAAUCAUUGAACAAAAAAGUGAUUAGGUUUUUGAUAAACUGUAUUAUUUCAGUUACUAUUAAGUUUCAAAAGUAGAUUAUAUGAAUUUAGUAAAAUUUGUUAUUAAAUUGUUCCUCAUUUUAUAAUUACCAUAUGUAUAUGUUUAAGAGUAAGUAUAAUAAAUUUUCUAGAAUGUUUUUUAGACACAAAAAUUUAAAUUAAGAAACUCAAAUAAUUAAAAUCUUAUGAACCUUAUAAUAUAUUAUAUUAAAUAUGAUAAAGUUCAUUGCGUAAUACAAUAAUAAAUAACUUAAAAUUAAAUAAAAAGUAAUAUGUAGUUGUGGUAAUAUGAAAGGGUUUAUGAUUUUUAGUAGUGUUUAUGAAAAAAUAUGACAUAAUCGUCUUUUUAUUAAAAUAAUAAGGUUGUUACAGAAAUUUUAAAAGAGUUUGAUGACUUAUUCAAUAAGCUGCUAUUACGACCAGUUUGGGAUACUUGUGACUAAUAAAAUAAGUUGUUUUUGCUAUGUGGAUGAAAUAAGUUAUUUUUGCUAUGUGGAUGAAAUAAGUUGUUUUUGCUAUGUGGAUGAAAUAAGUUGUUGAUUAAAAAAAUAGCUUAGUAUUUGAUAAAUUAUGUCGCUGCAAUUGUUGUUAGUUUGAAAAGUAGAGUACAAGUAUUUGGUAAAUUUUAUCAUGAAACUGUUGUUUUACUAUAUAAUGACUAAAUAAACAUAAGUUUAGAUUUCCUUCUAUUUAUAUAUUAGGGUUUAUGAAAAAAAAUAAGACAUAAUUAUAUUUUUAUUAUGGUAAGGUUAUGAUAAGGACUUUAAAAAGGUGUUGUGCCUUAAGUUAAUAAGUUGCUUACAAAAAGUAACUCUCUACAUGCUUUUAGAAAUUUCUUUCUAUCAAAAUGAAAAAAAAAACCUUAAAUAAGCAGUUUUUAAAAAAUUGACCAAACAUCAUUUUUGUCAAAAUUUAUAAAAUAUGCUGCUUGUAGAGUUUCAACCUCAUUUGCCAAUGCUUAAAAAGAAACCUGCUAUCUACUUUAAAAACUAUUAUUAGAAUCGAGAAACUUAUAAAAUAAAUAGUUGCAACAUCCCACAUCGCAAAAGAAAGAGUUCCUAGACUAGUUUAUACACCUUGGACUCUCCUAGCUAAGUAAACACGUUUUAAGUUGUAAAGCCCAACAACAAACCUGGGAUCAACUGUGUUCCUAAUGCAUACAAUAUCUACUUAGUUAUUGGCCUCAAGCUGUUGCAGUUGGUAUCGAAACUGACUCACGACCCGAUGUGUGAAUGGAUAUGAUAAUGAUAUGAUUUAGUUCCAUUCUGUUUCCAAUAACCCUCACGAGGAUGCGAGGUCCUCAAUGGGGAAGCAUGUAAUAUCCCACAUUACUAGUGAGACAAUUCCUGAACUAGUUUAUAAGCAUUGGGCUCUCUUAAUUAAGAAAAUGCAUUUUGAAUUGUAAAGCCAGAUAAUAAAACGUGAUAGACUUUGCGUCCAAAUGAAACAAUAUCUACUUAGUUGUUGGGCUUGAACUAUUACAAUAACUAUUAAAAAAUUUAACAUAAACUAGUUCUAUCAAAACUUAUGUGAUAAGUCUCCUUAACAUUUCAACUGCAAUCAUAAAGGUAGCCUUAAAUGAAAAAUAUGGGUAAGUUUAAUUUUGACUUAAACUAAAUUCAUGUUAAUUUAUUUCCAUAUAAAAUAUGAUCCAUCAUUUUGUUUUCCUUUUUAAAACUUUUUGUCAAUGAAAUUAUAAGGAUAACUAUGCAAACACCACGUUUUUAAUAUAUUCUAUUCAAUAACUAAGAAAAAUUUAAAAAUAAACAUUUAGAUUUAGAUUUGUAUAUUUGGGGUGCAUUUAGCACAUUAUAUUGUAUAGUAUUAGCUUUAUUACAUUAGUUAUAUUGCAUCAUCUUGUACUAAGCUAUAAUCUAAUCCUAUAUUUAGUGUACUAUGAACUGCAUUAUGUAACAUAAAUUUUUUAUUUUUAUUUAUAUUAAAUUAAUAAUUUAAGAUUUAUUUAUAUUUUCUUAUCAUUUAUAUUAAAUUUAUAAUUUAAAUUUUUAUAAUUAAAAUGAGCAAUUUUCAUCCACCGACCACUAUAAGUCGUUGCUGGCCAUCCUUCUUCAGUAUCAUUUGAACUUUAUUUUGAUACAAUUAAAAUUCUUAUUAUCAGGCUAUGCAAUGGUGCAACUAUUAGUGGGAAAGAAAUUUUCAUUUGCUAUAGAUAUGCAGGCAAAGUUUCAGUUUUCAAAAUUUUAACCGUAAAUUUAAGGCAAACGAAAGCUCUUUUGUCGGCAAAAUUGCACUAUUGCUUAAUUCUAAAACACUAAUUUAUGCAGCAGCCACCAACGAUCGGCAACCGUUGAACUGUUGCCGACGUCAACAUAGUUGAGUUUUUAAUUUUAUUUAAUAUUAUAUAUUUUUAUUCAGUUUUUAUUAUAGAAAAUAAAAAAACUAAUAUGAACAACGUGGUAUUACACAAAUCAGACCCCUAGGUUUAUUUGAUGCGGCAUUGUUCGCAACAUGAUGCAUUUUAAUACACCAUAAUGUGAACAAGAAUAUUUACCAAGCAUGAAAUUUAAUUACAUUAAUCAAUACAAUUCUCUUCUCACAAAAAAAAAAGUAAUACAAUCUCAUGUAAUGUGGUGUGCCAAUCACACCCUCGAUAUUAUACAUUUGAGUAUAACUUUGACUUAAACUAGGAGAAAAUUAUGGUGCAACAGUGGUACCGUGUCACUGUUGCAUCCAACCGUUGGAUCUCAAUGGAUCCGUCUAUCCAAGUGAAUCCAACGGCUAGAUGCAACCGUGGUACCGUACCACCGUUGCACCGUAGCCGGACCCCUUAAACUAAGUUCAUGUAAAACUCUUUCCAUAUAAAUUAACCAUCAUUUUUUUACCUUAAUAAAAAUUUAAAACCUCAUUUCCCUUGCCAAUUAAUGUAAUUGAUUAUAUGAAAAAUAUGUUUAUGAAUAAAUAUGUUUUUGUAUUCAAAUAUCUUCAAAUUUUAGUAAAUGCAGAAUUGUUCAAAUUUCACAUGAAAAAAAAUUAAAUAAACCGGCAAUUAGCUUUAUUAUAUGUUUCAUCAUUAACCUCACAUAGAAACAAACUUUAUUAUUAAUGGUCAGAUCAAGAAAUGCAAUUCUUGAAACCGGUAAAUUACACAUGCUAGUUAACUCUUCGGCAAUUCAUCCUGAUUUCUCCUUCAUUACCAGCAAGUACGUUCAAGUUACCCAUCUUGAUCAUGGAAGCACUGAAAUCUGAUGCAAAAGAAAUUGGAUUUGUACUGUACUUUCGCACCAGCCGAUCACUAUCACUGCUAUCAUUUUUAAAAAGUUGCUGAUCAGAAUGAAGGAGACCCCUUGAUACUAUCAAAUCCUUAAAGUACCGAUUAUCAAAUAGUGUAGUUGUUGCAUCAAGUGGUUCUGUGUUGAAUGUUCCUCCGGUUACUGGGCAAUUAUUUCGCUUGGAAGCAGCAAAUACUGGAUCUAUAUCUGAGUCAUUGUAAAUCCUGUUCCGAAAUGAUGGGCAGCGAGCAAGUCCAAUGCUGUGGCCUCCUGAGAGAGCAACUAGGUCUUGGAGAUUUAAGCCUUGUGAUUGGAAGCUUGAAAGAAGCACAGAGAAGUUUGAAAAUGGGGAAGGUAGAUUGGCAUUUGCAUCAUUGAAGCUUGCAGUUCUUGCAUCUCUUCUUCCUAAU